rnacentral:rRNA from 1 species
UAAUCAUACGCUUGUCUCAAAGAUUAAACCAUGCAAGUCUAAGUUUAACGAAAUUUAAACACGAAGACAGCGAAUAUCUCCUUAAAUCAGCAAUCGUUUACUUGAUUAUUUCUACUUUUUGAAUUAUUAAAAGUUGUUUCUCGGAUAACUGUGGUAAUUCUAGAGCUAAUACGUAUUAAAAUGGGCGCUGUGAGUUUUCGAACGAUCGGCGUCUUGUAUUUAUUAGAUUUUCAAAAACCAAUAUAGAUCAUUCCAAACUCGCGUUUCGGCGCGGGGAUCUAUUCCUUAUUUCUAUUGGUGAAUCAUAAUAACUGAUCGAACCGUGUGUCGCAAGACGACGGUGUUUCAUUCAAAUUUCUGCCCUAUCAGCUUUCGUUGGUAGUGUAGUGGACUACCAAGGCUUUUACGGGUACGGGGAAUUAGAGUUUGAUUCCGGAGAGGGAGCCUGAGAAACGGCUACCACUUCCAAGGAAGGCAGCAGGUGCGAAAAUUACCCAAUUCCAUCUCGGAGAGGUAGUGACAAAAAAUAACAAUACUGGACCUGAUAAAGGUCUUGUAAUUGCAAUGAGUACAAUUUAAACCAAUUAACAAGGAUCCAAUAGAGGGCAAGCCUGGUGCCAGCAGCCGCGGUAAUUCCAGCUCUGUGAGUGUAUAUUAGAUUUGUUGUAGUUAAAAAGCUCGUAGUCGGAGAUGAGACUAUUUUUUUGAAAUUUGAAAGCGGGAUUCGAGUGGAAAAUUCUGCUCGGGUUCACUUUUAAUUUCGAUAGUCUUUUAAUGAGCAAUCAAGUUAGCCUCACGGCGCUCGUUUGCUCUGUUUACUUUGAAAAAAUUAGAGUGUUCAAAGCAAGGAAAAGAUUGCACCUCACGGUGCGUCUUUGAUUUAAACCUUUUGAAUAUUUUAGCAUGGGAUAAUAGAACAAGACCUUUUUUUGAUUUUAUUGGUUUUCCAUUUUUAAUUAUUAGGUAAUGAUUAACAGGGACAGUUGGGGGUAUUAGUAUUGCGUUGUCAGAGGUGAAAUUCUUGGAUUAACGCAGGACUAACUUUUGCGAAGGCAUUUACCAAGGAUGUUUUCAUUGAUCAAGAACGAUAGUUUGGGGAUCGAAGAUGAUUAGACACCGUUGUAGUCCAAACUGUAAACUAUGCCGGCCCUGGAUGUGCAAACGUCACUUUAACAUAGUCGCGGUUUUCGAUUAGCAGCAAUGCGUCGUUAAAACUCGACUACCUAGACUUUGUGCGCACAGUAAGAGAAAUUACAAGCGUUUGGGUUCUAGGGGGAGUAUGGUCGCAAGACUGGAACUUAAAGGAAUUGACGGAAGGCCACCACAAGUUGUGGAACGUGCGGCUUAAUUUGAGUCAACACGGGAAAACUUUCCAGGGCAAGACGGAAUGAGGAUUGACAGAUUGAGAGCUCUUUCUUGAUUUUUCGGUUAGUGGUGCAUGGCCGCUCUUAGUUGGUGCUUUGAAGUGUCUGGUUAAUUCCGAUAACGAGCGAGACCUCAACUUACUAAAUAGUUGAACAAAUUUUCGAAAACCUCGUUGAUAUGAAGCGGAGUUUUAAUGAAAUAUUUAAUCGUUUUUCAUUCGCGCCGUGGAUUAUUGUUUUUAAAUUUGUUUUCUUUGUGCGGGCGUUUCGGCGCGCGCAUGAAAUACUUCUUAGAAGGACUUUUUGUAUUGAAACAAAAGGAAGUUUGAGGAAAUAGCAGGUCUGUAAUSSCCUUAGAUGUUCUGGAAUGCACGCGCGUUACUAUUGAAAAAGAAAAAAGUAUAUAAAAAGUUGCCGGACUUGUUUCGGUGCUUUUGAAACCUAUCUCGAGAGAGAAUGCCAGCUUUAGUGCGCUUCGGUGUAUCGGCUGGCGAUGGGUAAUCUUUGAAAUCUUUUUAUCAAUUGGGAUAGAUGAUUGCAAUUCUUCAUCUUGAACGAGGAAUAUCUAGUAAACGCGACUCAUCAAGUCGCGUUGACUACGUCACUGGCCUUUGUACACACCGCCCGUCGCUUCUACCGAUUGAUGGUUGAGGUGAGGUUUUGGGACGACCUAUGGAAAGUAUUGCUUCCUUUUUGAGUUGCAAAGCUGUUUGGGCRACUGAACAGUUCCUUUCCUGUCGAAACUUGCCCGAAUCUUUAUCAUUAGAGGAAGAAGAAGUCGUAACAAGGUUUNCCUG